CUGUCCGACGAAAGGGGCGUUACCUCGAUUCAAUGAGCGUGCGCUAUCUCUCCUGGAGAGUAGCAAACGGAGACUGUGAUAGUGUUGUUGUGUUAGCUAGUCACCUAUAAACCUAUCUCAGGUGCGAAGUUGCAGAAUGGCCUUUGCGUUUUCAUGGGGGAGGUCGUGUCCGGUGAAUGAUGGUGAUGUCCGAUGACCGGGGUCGCAGAGAAGGAUCACGUUUACCGUCCUAGCAUAACCGUUUCAAGCCUUUGGAAGCCCACGUCUGGAAUCACAGUCUUUACUAAUUCUUCUUAUUGUGGCCUCUAGCAAAGCUCAGUCUUACUUCGUUUACUUCUUGCAUGGCUGUCCGAUGAUUGAUGGUGUCCGAUAACAGGGACGUCGCUCUACAGAGUUUUUGCUCGUCUCGGAAAGGAUGUCUGGAGUAUAUAUACGAGUAUCAUCUCUACCUCUGUCCAAAUAUUGCAAAUUAGUUAUAUAUCUAAGCUGCAGCAGCAGCAACAACAACAACAACAACAACAACAACAACAACAACAACAAAGCACAACUUCAAGGCUACAGCAGGGAACUGUUCUAGAUAGAUAGAUGUGUUGAAUAGUUCUAAUGUUUGUUUUAAAUCAAUUAUAAAUUGAAUUCUACUAUGUACUCCUGUUUAUAUUCCGUACAAUUGUAAUUUUGCAG